rnacentral:rRNA from 1 species
UACGAAGGGGGCUAGCGUUGCUCGGAAUCACUGGGCGUAAAGGGUGCGUAGGCGGGUCUUUAAGUCAGAGGUGAAAUCCUGGAGCUCAACUCCAGAACUGCCUUUGAUACUGAGGAUCUUGAGUUCGGGAGAGGUGAGUGGAACUGCGAGUGUAGAGGUGAAAUUCGUAGAUAUUCGCAAGAACACCAGUGGCGAAGGCGGCUUACUGGUCCGGUUCUGACGCUGAGGCGCGAAAGCGUGGGGAUCAAACAGG